CCUACGGGUGGCAGCAGUGGGGAAUAUUGGGCAAUGGAGGCAACUCUGACCCAGCACCGCCGCGUGAAUGAUGAAGGUCUUCGGAUUGUAAAGUUCUGUGAUGGGGGAUGAACACAAUGACGGUACCCCAAUAGCAAGCCACGGCUAACUACGUGCCAGCAGCCGCGGGAAUACGUCGGUGGCAAGCGUUAUCCGGAAUGACUGGGCGGAAGGGGUGCGUAGGUGGUUUAGUAAGUAGGCGGUGUAAUUCCGGGGCUCAACCUCGGCUCUACCGCCAAACCUAUUAGACAAGGUUGCAGGGGGGUGAACGGAAAUUCCUAGUGUAGCGGUGGAAUGCGAAGAUAUUAGGAGGAACAUCAGGGGCGAGGGCGACUAACUGGACUGUAACGGACACUGGGGCACGAA
rnacentral:rRNA from 1 species